rnacentral:sRNA from 1 species
GUGAGUGUGAGGAGCGAUCGAACGAAAGUCUCUAGGGUCGAAACACGGCAAGACGCCUUGAGGCUUUUCUUC